GACGAACGCUGGCGGCGUGCUUAACACAUGCAAGUCGAACGGGCCCGCUCUCUUUUUUGGGGGUGGGUUGAGUGGCGAACGGGUGAGUAUCACGUGAGUAACCUGCCCCCUGCUCCUGGAUAACUGCUUGAAAGGGCGGCUAAUACGGGGUGUGCCGGCUGGUCCGCAUGGGCCUGGUCGGGAUAGUUUCAUCUUCGGGUGUUUCGGUGGGGGAUGGGCUCGCGGCCUAUCAGCUUGUUGGUGGGGUGAUGGCCCACCAAGGCGGUGUCGGGUAGCCGGCCUGGGAGGGUGGGCGGCCACACUGGGACUGAGACACGGCCCAGACUCCUGCGGGAGGCAGCAGUGGGGGGUAUUGCACAAUGGGCGGAAGCCUGAUGCAGCGACGUCGCGUGAGGGAUGGAGGCCUUCGGGUUGUGAACCUCUUUCUCCGGUGGUGAAGGCCCUGUCCGUUGCGGCGGGGUUGACGGUAGCCGGGUAUGAAGCGCCGGCUAACUACGUG
rnacentral:rRNA from 1 species